GACGAACGCUGGCGGCGUGCCUAAUACAUGCAAGUCGAGCGGAACUGGGGGAGCUUGCUCCUUCCAGUUUAGCGGCGGACGGGUGAGUAACACGUGGGCAACCUGCCCUGCAGAUCGGGAUAACUCCGGGAAACCGGUGCUAAUACAGAAUAGUUUGGCGCCUCUCCUGAGGCGCCACGGAAAGACGGUUUCGGCUGUCACUGCCGGAUGUGCCCGCGGCGCAUUAGCUAGUUGGUGGGGUAACGGCCCACCAAGGCGACGAUGCGUAGCCGACCUGAGAGGGUGACCGGCCACACUGGGACUGAGACACGGCCCAGACUCCUACGGGAGGCAGCAGUAGGGAAUCUUCCGCAAUGGACGCAAGUCUGACGGAGCAACGCCGCGUGAGUGACGAAGGUUUUUCGGAUCGUAAAACUCUGUUGUGAGGGAAGAACACGUACCAACUAACUAUUGGUACCUUGACGGCACCUCACCAGAAAGCCACGGCUAACUACGUGCCAGCCGCCGCGGUAA
rnacentral:rRNA from 1 species